CUGAGGAGCUGGCAGGAUCACGUGCUCUGCAGCUUGGACCACAUGUAGCAUCUUCACUCUUGCGCCAUCCCCUAUGAGUGUACUUGUACAAACAGCCACAUCAAAUCAUCUUUUACCACCCAUGCUGUUUUAAGUCAAAGCAUUUACUCAUAUAAUUCAAGCCAAAUUUAAACCGAGCCGAGACGUAAUGCACGUGAUGGCUGCACACUUCUGUGGGAAUCCUUGUGCAGUGCGUUUUGGCCAAGACCAUGAUAUUAAUAACCCAUAGUAUUCCAGCACGAAAAUUCUUGAAAAAGGAACUUGAAAAAGGAGGCAACGCUUCAGAAUCGUCUGAGAGAACAAACACAGGCAAAAAAAGUGGAAUCAGGCUCUGCACAUUCCGUAUCGAAAAAUCGCUAUAGCUUGAACUUCAGUAGAAGACUCCAGAAGGUGAACAACCAGUUCAGGUAAGGAAGCCUUAAAAAUGUGAAACAGAGAGUAAAGCAUGUAGAAGAGAAAAGGACAAACUUGUUGCUGAUAAUAAUUCCUUAUGUUUCUUCAAAAUCUUUUUUUUUUAAUUUCUGGAUAAUAUUAUGUUCACUAGCUCGUAGAAUUCAUCUGAGUCUUGACACUUCAUUUUUAAAAUAUUUUUACUUACUUCACCCUCAGUAAUGUG
rnacentral:lncRNA from 1 species